CCUACGGGAGGCAGCAGUGAGGAAUAUUGGUCAAUGGACGAGAGUCUGAACCAGCCAAGUAGCGUGAAGGAUGACUGCCCUAUGGGUUGUAAACUUCUUUUAUAAAGGAAUAAAACGAGGCACGUGUGCCUUUUUGCAUGUACUUUAUGAAUAAGGAUCGGCUAACUCCGUGCCAGCAGCCGCGGUAAUACGGAGGAUCCGAGCGUUAUCCGGAUUUAUUGGGUUUAAAGGGAGCGUAGAUGGGUUGUUAAGUCAGUUGUGAAAGUUUGCGGCUCAACCGUAAAAUUGCAAUUGAUACUGGCAGUCGUGAGUACAGUUGAGGUAGGCGGAAUUCGUGGUGUAGCGGUGAAAUGCUUAGAUAUCACGAAGAACCCCGAUUGCGAAGGCAGCUUACUAAACUGGGACUGACAUUGAUGCUCGAAAGUGUGGGUAUCAAACAGGAUUAGAUACCCUAGUAGUC
rnacentral:rRNA from 1 species